GUUAGGAAUAUUGGACAAUGGGCGCAAGCCUGAUCCAGCCAUGCCGCGUGAGUGAUGAAGGCCUUCGGGUUGUAAAGCUCUUUAGUCCACGAAUAUAAUGACUGUAGUGGAAGAAUAAGCCCCGGCUAACUUCGUGCCAGCAGCCGCGGUAAUACGAAGGGGGCGAGCGUUAUUCGGAAUCACUGGGCGUAAAGCGUGCGUAGGCUGUUUUGUAGGUCAGAAGUGAAAGCCCAGGGCUUAACCCUGGAAUUGCUUUUGAAACUACAAGACUCGAAUUCGGGAGAGGAUAGCGGAAUUGUCAGUGUAGCAGUGAAAUGCGUAGAUAUUGACAGGAACACCAGUGGCGCAAGCGGCUAUCUGGACCGAUAUUGACGCUGAGGCACGAAAGCGUGGGGAGCGAACAGGAUUAGAUACCCGAGUAGUCC
rnacentral:rRNA from 1 species